UCUGGUUGAUCCUGCCAGUAGUUAUAUGAUUGCCAUGCAUGUCUAAGCCAUGCAUGUCUAAGUACACACGAAUUAAAAGUGAAACCGCAAAAGGCUCAUUAUAUCAGUUAUGGUUCCUUAGAUCGUUAACAGUUACUUGAAUAACUGUGGUAAUUCUAGAGCUAAUACAUGCAAUUAAAACACAGACCUUCUGGGACGUGUGCUUUUAUUAGACUAAUACCAAGCGAUCAAUUGAUCGUUAUAUUGGUUGAACUCUAGAUAACAUGCAGAUCGUAUGGUCUUGUACGGACGACAGAUCUUUCAAAUGUGUGCCCUAUCAACUUUUGAUGGUAGUAUCUAGGACUACCAUGGUUUCAACGGGUAAAGGGGAAUCAGGGUUCGAUUCCGGAGAGGGAGCCUGAGAAACGGCUACCACAUCUAAGGAAGGCAGCAGGCGCGUAAAUUACCCACUCCCAGCUCGUGGAGGUAGUGACGAAAAAUAACAAUACAGGACUCAUAUCCGAGGCCCUGUAAUUGGAAUGAGUAUACUUUUAAUCCUUUAACAAGGACCAAUUGGAGGGCAAGUCUGGUGCCAGCAGCCGCGGUAAUUCCAGCUCCAAUAGCGUAUAUUAAAGUUGUUGCGGUUAAAACGUUCGUAGUUGAACUUGUGCUUCAUACGGGGUAGUACAUACAUUAGUAGUUAGUACUAUACCUUUAUGUAUGUAAGCGUAUUAUCGUUGGAGUUCUUAUAUGUAAUAAAGUACUUGUACUUUUUUAUUUAUUCCUCCUAUUUAAAACCUACAUUAGUGCUCUUAAUCGAGUGUUUUUGUGGGCCGGUACAAUGACUUUGAAAAAAUUGGAGUGCUUAAAGCAGGCUUCAAAUGCCUGAAUAUUCUGUGCAUGGGAUAAUGAAAUAAGACCUCUGUUCUGCAUUCAUUGGUUUUCAGAUCAAGAGGUAAUGAUUAAUAGAAGCAGUUUGGGGGCAUUAGUAUUACGACGCGAGAGGUGAAAUUCUUGGACCGUCGUAAGACUAACUUAAGCAAAAGCAUUUGCCAAAGAUGUUUUCAUUAAUCAAGAACGAAAGUUAGAGGUUCGAAGGCGAUCAGAUACCGCCCUAGCUCUAACCAUAAACGAUGUCAGCUAGCAAUUGGGUGUAGCUACUUUUAUGGCUCUCUCAGUCGCUUCCCGGGAAACCAAAGCUUUUGGGCUCCGGGGGAAGUAUGGUUGCAAAGCUGAAACUUAAAGGAAUUGACGAAAGGGCACCACCAGGAGUGGAGCCUGCGGCUUAAUUUGACUCAACACGGGAAAACUUACCAGGUCCGAACAUAAGUGUGUAUGACAGAUUGAUAGCUCUUUCUCGAAUCUAUGGGUGGUGGUGCAUGGCCGUUCUUAGUUCGUGGAGUGAUUUGUCUGGUUAAUUCCGAUAACGAACGAGACUCAAAUAUAUUAAAUAGAUAUCUUCAGGAUUAUGGUGUUGAAGCUUAUAUUGCCUUCAUUCAUGGUAGCAGUAAAAUGUUUAUUGUGUUUGAAUGUGUUUAUAUAGGUGGAGCCGUACC
rnacentral:rRNA from 1 species